AAAAACAGGAGAGCCGCAGAAUAGCAUGCUGCGAUUUGAUAGAAACCUGUCUACAGGAGGAUCCAGAGAAACGUAUUGAUUCUUUACCACAAAUGGUUUCAGGACGACAGCCUUCAAACUCCCGUCUACUCCGGGAGCAUUAAUGUCAUUCAGGAUCCAGAAGAUUCUGGGUCUGAAUUUAAUGAUGACGGAGAGGAUGAUCAGGAGCCAAAUGUGAGAAUUGAAGAAUUCAAUGGCCGACAGUAUGAGAUCAGCAGAAAGCUGGGUGAAGGCGAUUUUGGAGUCGUCAAUGAAGGGACCCGUCUGCAGGAUGGCUUAAUGAUUUGAUUUUUACUCUUUUUCUUUUUCUUUCUUCUCCUCGUCUUUUUGAUAUCUCAUCCUAUUCUUUUCAAACCUUAAUGUAUCCUAUGUCCUCUUUAAUGUUGUAUAUGUAUUAUAGUUCUGUUCUGUUCAGGAUAAAUGCUUACAUAAAUCCAUUUUUCUUUUGUUGAUCAGGUGGCAGUAAAACUUAUUAAGAAGACCGAGGAAAUAAUCGAGGAUUACAUCAACAUUCCAGGUCAUCCAGAGCCCUCCCAUGUGAGGUUGGUAUUCACAUGCUUGCCUGUAAGGGAGAAAAUGUUCCUGCGAUCGUCCAGUUUCUGGACUGGCAGGAUCAUUCGGACCACUUUACAUGGUCCUGGAGCACCCUUCUCCCUGCGCGAAUGUGUUGAGUUUCUGGGAAAGCGAAAGAGAGAUCGUCAACUAGUUCUGAAUGAUAGAAAACAGAACACGUUGUUUGAUAAAAUAAUUGAAUAAGACGAUGAAUGAGAGCAGGUGUGAAGUUUAAAGUGACAUUCAGAUAAACUCACAGUUUAAGGUGAUAAUCGCCUCUUCCUUCUUUUUGAACAGAAUUAGAGCUGUUCGAUUCUGAUUUUUUUUACGUCGAUUCCGAUUCCAAUUCCUGUUUUGGGAAUCGAAAGUAUCGAUUUCAAGAAUCGAUUCCUAGCUGUUGUUUUCAAUUCCUGCUCAAUUGCCUGUUUUAGUACAGAUUUUUAUUUAUUAUAAUUUUUUAAACACAUUUUUAAUGUAAUAUAAUUUUCUAAGCUGUCACUUUUUACAUUUAUUAAUAGUUUAUUGUUUCUAUAACAAAAUUCUUAACCAAAUAUGUUGAUCUUGUCCUGCAAUUCCAAUGUGUCAUUGUAAAUAUCAUUAAUAAUCUAAUUUACUAGCUGUUUAAAAAAUUUAUUUAGUAGUGUACACAAAAAUACUUGAGGAAUAUAGAUACUGUAGACAGAUUGAUAAUCAGUAAAUUGUAUCAAAAAUACUUACAGUAAGAAUACUGUGCAUAUUCUGUAAGUGUAAAUGACAGACAGAGAUAAGGUAGGCUACUAACUCUAUUUCUCUUUACUGACUAAUAGACUCACACACUUUUUUUGCUAUUGCUCUUUCUAAUCUUCUCAUUUAAUGUGUUGAAAAUGUUUUG